CUUGCUUUCUUUGUUGGCGACCGGCGCACGGGUGAGUAACACGUAUCCAACCUGCCCUUUACUCGGGGAUAGCCUUUCGAAAGAAAGAUUAAUACCCGAUAGCAUAAUGAUUCCGCAUGGUUUCAUUAUUAAAGGAUUCCGGUAAAGGAUGGGGAUGCGUUCCAUUAGGUUGUUGGUGAGGUAACGGCCCACCAAGCCUUCGAUGGAUAGGGGUUCUGAGAGGAAGGUCCCCCACAUUGGAACUGAGACACGGUCCAA
rnacentral:rRNA from 1 species